ACGGAAGAAAGACGUACGAGUAGACCACAUUCUACCCAAGCUUGGAACUCUUGAAGUUUACAAAUGUGACAACCUGAUGAGCUUAGGGUCAUCCUCAGCAGUGUUUCAAGAUCUCACCAAUUUCAGGUUGAAAAGUUUGGAGCUUGUGAAUCUACCGCAACUUAAGAGCUUUUGGUCAAGUGACCAUUCUUACUAAUACUGAGUGGUUGUCCUGAGUUGGAGAUAUUUUGAAAUGGAGUUUUAAAGACGCCAUUGGUGGAAAGAUUAGAAGACGGAAACGGUACGGGACAUUGGCACAAUGACCUUAACAGCACUAUCCCAACAUUUGCUUUCAAUGAAGUCUACAAGGGAGCAGCAGGAUAUAGGAGUAGUUGGUGAAGAAAAACCACCCUUUCUCAAGAUAUUUUCAAUGAGCAGGUGUGGGGUAUGCCGCUGUCAUUCAGGAUUCUCGAGGCCAUGUUGUUAAAGCUACAUCGGCUGGAGUGAUGGGCUGGUUGUACCAUGAAUGGCCUAGAUGAUUGUCCCUCUUAGUUAAAGUCACUUCUAAUCAAUCGGAUUACUUAUUGGUGGUCGAAGCAUUACAAAAUUUAUGUUCUUUUAUUAUUGAAUUUGGUAUAACCCUUCAUGAUUGUUUAAUGCUACAAUUUUAUUUUGAAUCUUUAUCAUUCCAUUAGAUUAUGGAGGUGUCAAUAAAGUAAUUCAUACUCUUAUUAAGAUAAUCUUAUUACAAGCAAA